AAUGACAACUCUUUGUACUCUGUUUUUAAGCCAAUGUUCUACCCAAGAACAAGCAUUUUCAUCUAGACCAAUUUCCUUGAGUUUGAACACUAAUCUAUUGUGUGGAACUGUAUCAAAUGCCUUGGCAAAAUCCAAAUAGAUCACAUCCACGGCAACACCCUGAUCUAUACUUCUACUUACUUCUUCGUAGAACGCAAUCAAGUUAGUUUGACAUGACCUGUGCUUCAUAAAACCGUGCUGAUUUUUGCUGAUAACCAUUUUCUUCUCAAGGAAUUCUUGAAUAUUAUCCCUUAAUAACCUUUCAAAUAUUUUACCAGCCACAGA